rnacentral:lncRNA from 1 species
GCAACACCCAAAGCCACUGUCAGAUGUCAUGGGAAUGAGACCUCACAAGCUAAAGAGCAUGUUCAAUAUAAGAUUAAUGUAAAAUGAGUCCCGGCUCCAGGCAAAAUAUGACUUCUAAGCUGUUAAGAAUUCCAUAUUAUGUUGACCUGUGUCUUCCAAGUCCAGUUGGAGUUAGCGAAGAAACUGAGGUCUCCAAGAAGAGUGCCAUUUCUUGGAACAGCAGAAGUCUUUUCUCACAUGAGCUACAUGACAGAGGAGUGUUACGCAACUCACCCAUGGAUGCUGGCAGCCAAAUAACACCCAGAGUUCUGAUUCUGCAUUAUGUAAUUGGAAAUCCCUGCAGUGCAGUAACUUUUCGAUGUGCAGGAUGA